GUGGCUGUGGCUCAGUGGUAGAGUGCUUGCCUAGCAUGUGUGAGGCAUUGGGUUCAAUCCUCAGCACCACA
rnacentral:tRNA from 1 species